AUUGAACGCUGGCGGCAUGCUUUACACAUGCAAGUCGAGCGGCAGCGCGGGGGCAACCCUGGCGGCGAGCGGCGAACGGGUGAGUAAUGCAUCGGAACGUAUCCUCGAGUGGGGGAUAACCCAGCGAAAGUUGGGCUAAUACCGCAUGAGCUCUGAGGAGGAAAGCGGGGGACCUGCGAGGGCCUCGCGCUGGAGGAGCGGCCGAUGCCCGAUUAGCUAGUUGGUGGGGUAAAGGCUUACCAAGGCGACGAUCGGUAGCUGGUCUGAGAGGAUGAUCAGCCACACUGGGACUGAGACACGGCCCAGACUCCUACGGGAGGCAGCAGUGGGGAAUUUUGGACAAUGAGGGCAACCCUGAUCCAGCCAUGCCGCGUGAGUGAAGAAGGCCUUCGGGUUGUAAAGCUCUUUCGGACGGAACGAAAUGGGCGGGACUAAUACUCCUGUCUGAUGACGGUACCGUAAGAAGAAGCACCGGCUAACUACGUG
rnacentral:rRNA from 1 species